ensembl:lncRNA
CCCACUGCUUAGCAGUCUCCUCAUGGUGACAACGAAAUGUCUGUUUUCCAGGAAACCAUUUGAGCAUUAUGGAUUAGCCAUGGUAGGCACUUGCAGACCUCCAUAAAGCAUGUUGACACGCUCUCCGGUGUAUUACUAACUUGGCUGAAAAAUUGAUCAAAACUGAUAGAGUUGCAGGGCCCUGAGUCCCUUUACAAUCUGCUGCUGUGCUGCUCGGCUCUGGCAGACGCAGGAGAAGCCAAACCUGGUUUCCGUGAGCACAGUCUGCACUUUGCAGGGUGUUUGUGCUUUGUUCCAUCACAGUCUCCUCUCUGGGAAGGCAGCCAGGUGUCAGCUCCCUGGACAUCCCCAUGUCCCAGUCCUACCAGAACACCACCUCCUUCUGUUUGCUGCUUACAACUUGAUUUCUGCUGGAAGCCCAAAUGAGGGCUGAAUAGCAAAACCACAAACAAGGUGUUGGGUGGGAGGGGAAACACUGAGAUAGCAAACGAGGGAUCAGAAGUGGAAGAGAUAACAGAGCUAAGCAUGCUACCAGAGCCAAAAUACCUCUCUGCAUUCAUCCUCUGGUGCUCUUUGUACUUGUGGUACAGCUUAUAGACUCCAGUGAUGUUGUUUAAACAUAUGUUUGAACAAUGUCAAACUAUUAAUACCAUAUAUUCUUAUUAGAGGAAAAAAAAAGUGCCUUUGUGGACAUCAGGGCAAUGACAGGCCAUUGCCCUUAUUCUCCCAUUCAGCCCCAGAAUCUCAUUUCCUUACCCCAGAGCAGCUUUUGGGCCAAUUCCUCUAGCAGGGCUGUGAUCAUUGGGCAGAUGUGACGGGUUGUGGAAUGAUCAGCACCAAAUGUGUCCACAAAGGCAACGCUCAGCUCCAGCACAUUUUCAUCUGUUCCUGGACUGCAGCACAGCUUCAGCUUUCAUCUCUUUCCCCUUCCUCUUUAAACAACACACGAGUGAGUGAGCUUUCCUAUAGAGAACGUACUUUUGAUCUUGAUUUCUAGUAUCAGCUACAGCAAGAAAAAUUAAAAUUCAGGAUUUGUUACCAACGCUUUAAUUACCCAACGUUAUCAAGUUGUCACCAGGCCUUUAAUUAUUUUUCAGUUUAUAUCUAAUUUCCCGCAUUGUGCUUUUGUGAUGUUAAGGUAGAUCUGCAACUAUAAUAGAAAACGUCCAAGUCCUUUAUGAUGUGGUGGAUUGGAAAUGACAAUGUUAAUAAAAUUUACUCAUCUCCUGCGCCAAGAGCCACCACGGAUACAGGGUUUAUCUGCAGCUGGCACGCUGUUUGUUUAUGCCCUUUUCGUACCACUGAACACAUAAUCAUUUAUUCUCCAAAAGAGCAGUGAUGCGGUGGCAGAGGCUGCCCUGGUAGGUGGUGGAGUCACCGUCCCUGGAGGGGUUCAGGAGCUGUGGAGAUGUGGCACUGAGGGCCAUAUCAGUGGGCAUGGUGGAUGGGCUGGGGUUGGACCUGGGGAUCUGAGAGGUCUUUUCCAACCUUCAUGGUUCUAUAUUCAAAAAGAAUACAGAAUCCAUGUGCUGGAGACUAUUUUACACCACCCUUCUCUCUCCUAGUUGUCCCAACAGCACACAGAGCAGUAUCUGAACGCCCCGUGCAAUGUGCUCUUUGCAUGCCAACCUACAGCUCUCUCCAACAGCAUGGCUCACAACCGCUCCCCAAAACAACAACUACACUGCACAGAUGUGGAUCAUUAGUGCUUGAACCAGAACUAACUUCUCAGAAAAUUGUACUUAUUGCAGGACAAAUUGAGUCUGCUAUGGCAGAAGCCAGAAUAAUUGCUCAGGGGACUGUAGGGCUUAUCCAGCAGUUAAUUCAUUAUUUGUACCUGCUCGGAGCCAGGAUAGAAACAGCAGGCAAGGCAGCAGCAAACAAGGUACAAACUCCAGCGUCUAAGGAUCAAUUUGUUCAGAUAAAGGCUUAUUGCCAUCACGGCAAGGUUGCAAAACACCUCUACAAGCGCUUACCAGUGGGAAAAUAGGAGGGAGCAGCUUCACUGCAGACCUUCAGCUUUCUGAUAAGAUGUGUGAGCCCUCUGUUCCUAUAGCUGUGACCUGAACACAACCAAUGCUGUGCUCUGGGCUUCGCCGUGUCAUAGCCACCCCAACAUCAGGGUCUGGAGGGCAGAUCCCACCUUGGCAGUGGGGCCAGGCCAAGGCGAGCAGAGAAGGAGCAGCAACAGGAAGACACUGCUAACAAGCAGCCACACCAACGGCAUGGCACAGCUGGGGCUCCCAUCGCAACUCCACAAGCUCCUCGGGAUGCGGCUCUGUGCAGCCCUACAAGCACCUCUCUGUGGGAUGUGUCCCCUCUUUUCACUUGGCCCUGAGCACAGCAGGGAGUCAGCAAGGUAUAGUGCAGAUAUGGCCAUUUCUCUGCCCUUUGAAAAUGAACUUGGCAAAGCAGUUAUCAUGAAGGGAGCCCCUCUGGCUCAAUAAGGCCACCCAGACUGCACUCUAUCAGCACAGCCAUUUUUCCAUCAGUUACCAAACGGAACCGAAACAAUUGCAACAGGAAUUCACAAAGCAUACCAGGAGGAGAAAUACCUACAGCUAAAAGAGCACCAAAACCAACAGCCCCAACUUCAGUUGGCUUUCAUCAUCGCAUGGAGUCAUUUGGGAGCACCAACAUUUCAGUGCACCACGUUUCCAUUCAACACCUAUUAAUACAUAUCAUGCUACAGGCGGGUAGUUUUAUGGUGGGAAGAACACAAGUGCUCUCAACGAAAUGACUCAAGGGCAACAAAGCAUAAACCGUCUCUAAACCUGUAUAAAGGAUGCUGAAGUCACAAACAAGGCAUAAAAUAAUAUGGAGUUGGAAAGCGCUUUUUCCUUAUUAGGUUGAUCAAAGAAAAGCCAGUCUGGCAAGCUUGCUCUAUCACGCAAAUGGAUGUGGUAAAAAAAAGGAAAUGAAAAUUCUGAUCCAUAUUCAUUGUCUGGCUGUCAGCGAGGGAGAAAUAAAAGUUGCACUUUACAUUUUGCUUUGCUUCAGAAAGCUGAUCUGAAGUUCCACAGAGGAAAAAAAAAUGUAAUCAAAGCUGAUGAAGAAGCAAAAGAAAAUCAAAGAUAAUUAAUAGAAACAAAGCAAGCACCAGACACGGUGUCUAAUAUUAACAAAAUAGAGAACGUGCUCAACUGCACCCAGCAGUGGCUCUGGGCACUGACAGCAUUGUAAUGGACGGAUUUAUGGGUGGAUUUCUCUCUCAGAGCCCCUAGCACCAGCCUGGCUGUCACCACUGCAGUCCUGACCACCACAAGACCCCAUCCCCGCAGCAGCGGGGUUGAGCCCCAGGCACGUACAGCAUUUUCUGAUGACUUUUUUCCAAAAUUUUCCUCUUCCCCAGACUGAAUAACCCCAGUUCCCUCAGCUACUCCCCGUAACGCCUGUGCUCCAGACCCCUCACAGCUUUGUUGCCUUUCUCUGGACACGCUCAGGGCCUCCAGCUCUUUCUUGUAGUGAGGGGCCCAAAACUGAACGCAGCACUCAAGAUGCGGCCUCACCAGUGCGGAAUACAGAGGGACGAUCACCUCCUGCUCCUGCUGGCUGCACUACAGCUGAUACAAGCCAGGAUGGCACUGGCUUUCUUAGCCUCCUGGGCACACUGCUGGCUCAUGCUCAGCUGCUGUCAGCUAACACCCCCAGAUCCUUUUCCUCUGUGCAGACUUCCAGCCACCUUGGCCCAAGC